GCCCACCCACCUCACCAUGGUGCCCUCUUGCGUCAUUACCUAUGAGGACACCCCAAACAAAGCUGUCUGUCCUGGAACGGGUUACUGGUGAUGGACUUGAUGUUGGAGUUGGUAUCGUCUAGCUGUAGCACCAGCCUUGAAAUGUUACCGACCCUGCUUGUCGUCUACCCUAUUUCCUGUCCGUCCGUCUGAUAAUGGAUGUUGUUGGUCAACGCUACAACAAGUUGGAUAUCUAUAAUGGUGAAGGGGCUCCCAAAUACCUUUUACCAAAACCUUCCUGGCCCAAGGGUGAGCUCAACCUAAGCUGAAAGAGCGCUUCUGAUAGAGGGUACCUUAGGGGUUGUCGGCUGACCAGCGCCUGGCGGGCUGAUGCUCCAACGUUGGG